GUCCUGCUCUCUUCUUCACCAGGGCGUCCAGUGCUGGAACUGUACUGGGACAUUUCUGUCACCAGGGUAGCUGAUGGCAUAAUGGAGGAAAUGAGCUUCUGAUGAGGAGCUGAAGGCUCAGGAGACUCAGGAGGUGCCUGACCCAGACUCUCCCCAGACCUGGAACUUUAAGAGAGCUGCCUACAGCAGAGUGACUCUGCAGGGAGAAGGGCUUGUCGGGUCUAGUUGAAAACAGAGUGUGCCAACCUGCUCCAGGGUCAGUGGUUCCCUGAAGAAUCUCCAUUCUGAGAAAGAAGGCCAAGCAGGGGUGACAGGCACCCUGGCUCACACCUGCAGACAGAUACUCAGCCCAAACUUGGAAGAUGCUAUGGAAUCAUUGUACCAAGGUCACAAUGAAAAGCUUCAGACAGUCAUUGCCAUGGCACAGCUAUGAGUGAAGGGAAUGGUGUAUUAACUAGAGCAGCGAUUCAUAGUCACCUGGGCAUCUUGUUGAGAGAGGCAGAUUUGCGUUCAGCAGGUUGGAAAGGUAAUCGGAGGCUUGACAUUUCCAUCGAAUUUUCAGGUUUAUCUAUUGAUGUGCCCCAGUGUUUUGCCUCUGUGUAUGUAUAUGCGCCCCAUGUGUGCCUGGUGUCUGAGGAGGUCAGAAAUGGGCACUGGA